GUUGUAUUACAAAUUAGGUAAGCUUUAAUUAGGUCUGUUUCAUAGAUUGUCGCAUGGAAUCUCAUAUUUUGAAAUAUACACAAUGUUUACAUUACCAAGUUCCACGAUGAUACAUAAUGUAUCUCUGAAAGGAAGUCAAAAAAACAUGGCCUUUGAAACUAGGACCAGGCUUAAUCUGAGUAUCUUGACCAUUUCACUGAUUUGAAGAGGUCAUGGUGCCUGCAGUCUGUAUGUGCAGCAUUUUGCUUUGAACUAAAGUUCAGGACAGGCUGAUAUCAAAUUUGUGCAUGUUGUUCUAUACACAGAACUGCUUGUAAUAUGUGUUCUCUCUGUAUUUCGUUUAGUGUGCCCGCUCUCCGUUCAGGAGUGCUUCCACGAGGGGAAUUAACUCACCUCCCGAACCACCCUAAUACCUCAUUUAGAAUGUUAGUAUAGAAUGUUCACACCUCCCAAUCACCUCGCAACAUAGGUGUCAAAACCGCAAACCGCAAGGGAAACAAUUAAUUAGUGCUUCCCUGUGUGCCCGCCAUUUGUACAGACGAACGCCAUCAGGGGGAGCAUUCGUGGAUUGUUUCCUCACUCGUUCAUAUCCCGAACGAGGGCCUCCUGUACCUAACGGUGCCCCAUUAGAACGUUUAUACCAAUUAAUCAGAACGCUUGCACCCGCAACAUAGGUGUGAAAUCACACGGGAAUUAAUUCAUGAGUGCUCCCCUGGGUGGCUGCCAUUCGUACAGAUGAACGCCAUCCAUUGUACCCCCAAAGGAGAUGCUUCCCUUGUCUGUGUUUCACACCAGGGCCUCGCAAAUCGAGCCUAGUAAUUCGAGGGACUGAGGCGAGGAUCCCUGAGAUUGGUGUGGGCACUGGUGAGUUUUGGCGGGCUUUCAUGAGCCCGAGGGACAAAGAGACCAGCACUUUUCCCGCAGGCUGGAUGGUCCCUUUUUCCCGCGCCUAGACUCCCAGGCACAGAGGCUCUUGGGAAGAAGACCCCUGGCGGUUGGUGUGGUGAACCCAGGGGAUUCUGUGACAAGUUUUGGAGACAAAUGGAACGGAAUGCCACGCUGGGAUGUGUCUUUGUAUGUGUGUGUG